CCCGGUGACCAUAGCGAGGGGGUCACACCCGUUCCCAUUCCGAACACGGUCGUUAAGCCCCUCAGCGCCGAUGGUACUGCGCGGGCAACUGCGUGGGAGAGUAGGACGUUGCCGGGA
rnacentral:rRNA from 1 species